rnacentral:rRNA from 1 species
GACGAACGCUGGCGGCGUGCUUAACACAUGCAAGUCGAGCGGUAAGGCCCUUUCGGGGGUACGACGAGCGGCGAACGGGUGGAGUAACACGUGGGUGGACCUCGCCCUCCAGCGUCCUGGGAGUAAGCCUGGGAAACGUAGGGUCGUAAUACUGGAUAUGACUCCACGGUGCAUGUCGUGGGGUGGAAAGCCUUGUGCGGCUGAGGAUGGGCCCGCGGCCUAUCAGCUUGUUGGUGGGGGAUGGCCUACCAAGGCGACGACGGGUAGCCGGCCUGAGAGGG